AUCUGUGAAAGAUGCAGAAAUAGGAGUUCUCUUGCAGCCCAAAACACCCUCUGCAUCAACUUCAUGCUGUUUUGGACUGAAGGGAGCUCCUUCUUCUUCACUUUCCUCUAUCUACCUCAAACCCUUCCUUCAUUCAACUAUUAAAUUUCACCCAUUUCAGCUUUCAAUUCCUUUUGCAAAGGUAAAAACUAAAUAUUUCCUCAAUCAAAUUUUUCUUUUCUUUUGCCUUUUAUAUUCCUACCCAUCUUCAAACUUUUUUUUCUUUUAAUAUUGAAUAUGCUUCAACAUGACUGGCAUAACCAAUUCAUUUAUUUUCAAAUACAGAGACCUUCCCAGUUGCCAAACAUUCUUCAAUACAUCUUCCAGAACUUUUAUUUCAGAAAUUCUACCUCAUCUUUAAAAUAAGGAACUUUCCUUAUUCAUUCAAUUAUUGAGAAAAAAAAAAAAAAAAAAAACAGAUAUAUUUCUCUGUCUAUUUUUGUUUUGCUGUUCAAGAACUACACCAGUUGUUAUUUAAACCCAUUUCUUCAUACACCAUAAUUCCUUAAAAAUAUACACCUUGUGUGCAGUAACCUUCUCUAUUAUAAUUUCCCUAAAUUAUAGUUUAUUUCUCUCUGCAAACAUCGGGCUCAGACACUAAUGAAGGUUUAAUCAACCUCGCUUCGGACAAACCCCAAACUAGAUUUGAUCAAGGGUAAAUGUUGCAGAUUUCAAAUUUUAUUAAACUGAAAAAUCUUCUUAAAACAUUUUAGUGCUUAUUAAAAACAUAUUUAAUUUCACCUGAUCCUGCUGAAACUUAAUUUAAGAUUUCGUCUAAACAUAUUCCUGAACUUAGUUUACAAUAGAUUUAAUAAACACUUGGUAUAAAUAAAACUGUUUUCUCGUACUCUUCUCUUCCUAUUUUCUUCUCCUUUUUUAUAAUUUUAAAUUUGGUCUAAAUUCAUUGUUAAACUCUAUUUUCAAAAGAUUUAAAAAAAAAAACACUUAGUAUAAAAUAUACUCAUGUUUUUUCUUCCUUUCUAAUUAAUACAAGACUCGGUAGAUCUGUUGUAGCAAAUUAUUAUUGGAAAUCAUAUUUUAUAUCUAACUUGCUCGUUUUUGUAAUAGUCUCCAAAAAAAGGUUAUAAAUUUAUACAUUUAAUUUUUGCGAGUUUCUGACUCAGUUAACGUAAAAACGUAUAAAUUUUGUCAGUGCGUAAAAAAAGUUGUUAGUUAAGCUGUCGAAAUUAUUGUCGGAACAUGUUACAUCUGGAAGCAAUUUUUUUAAAAUUCCUUGAAGAAAAUGAAUAAAUUUAGACGUUCAAUUCAUGAUACUGGAACUCGGGCAUUAGGCAGAAAAAUUCUUGUAAAGUAUAAAUCUGUACGUAUAAUUUUAUCAAGGAGUUCACAAUCUAUCAGAAACUGUGAUCUUAGACUGCUAGGAGUAAAUGGGUUAUCAGUUCACGCGCAGUCCAGAUCUACCACUGAAGGUAGGUGAUGGCGUUGCAGGUACUAUAACAGCUUGAUAAACGACAAAAACGUUGAAGAAAUAUUUUUACUUUCAUGAAGAAAGUUUUAUUACAAUUACUAACGUACAACAUAAUUUACAAGCGAUAAUUUUGUACAGGCAGACAUGUCAUUGCAAGUAACUUAGUACUACAUAGGGAUCAUUUGCUGAAUCUGGCGCUGGCGGUUUGGAAUAUUGCAAUUGAAGCGAGAGCAUGACCAUAGUUUGUCCUCUGAUAAAGGCACC
rnacentral:lncRNA from 1 species